UACGGGGGGGGCGAAGCGUUUGUUCGGAAUUACUGGGCGUAAAGGGUUUGUAGGUGGCUUAUUAAGUCAGACGUGAAAUCCCUCAGCUUAACUGGGGACUGCGUCUGAUACUGGUUGGCUCGAGUGCAGGAGAGGAACGCGGAAUUCCCGGUGUAGAGGUGAAAUUCGUAGAUAUCGGGAGGAACACCGGUGGCGAAGGCGGCGACCUGGGUAGAUACUGACGCUGAGGUGCGAAAGCGUGGGGAGCAAACAGG
rnacentral:rRNA from 1 species